UUGGUUACCUUUUGGGAAAUCGGCUUCGGCUGAGCCUAUAUAUUAAAAAAAAAAACAAAAAAAAAACAGAAGAAAAAAUCAAGACCAGCUGAUGAAGGGAAGGAAGGGGUAAUUUUCUCGGAAAACACGAAAUGAAACCCAACGAGAGAUUGAGAUAGCACCGAUGGUCGUCAUCGUGGGAAAGAAGUUUGCAAAGAAAGCGCACCCCGUCAGGCCUCAAGUUCCCUCAACCCUUCCUUUCAUCCGGUUCCGCAAGUUCCAUUCAGGGUCUCUUCAAAAUCUUGAGUAGAUUCUGUUUCUUAAACACCCUUCUCCAUAUGGUUCUGGAUUUCUUUUCAUUUACCGAAAUAACUUUUUUUUUUAAAUGUAUGAGAUUGAUAAUUAGACCAUUUUUUUGUACUGGCUCGUAAUUUGUUAUGUCUGAAGCUGGUAUUUCUAGGAUUGUGAAGCCUUCUAUGAACUGGAUAUUUGAUAAAUUGACGUUAAGAGUUUAUUAGUUUCUUAGCUUUCAGUUAUUUAGUUUUUAUUUCGAAUUCUGCAGUGGGGGCACAGUAGCUGAUACUGCAUUGAAAUUAUUACUUUGAUAUCUAAUGGAAACCUUCUUUAGAUGCAUUGUCCUAAGAAGAAGAUGGGAAGACGAGAAACAAAGAAGAAGAUGGAAAGAUGAAGUUGAGAAUCGGCUGACUUGGUUUCGUGGCUUUGUGUCUGUGAUGAAGGGAAGUGAAUCUGUUUACAUAUGAAAUACAGCGUUUCAUUUGUCCACGUGGGACCCGUGUACACGGCGUGUUCCCUUCGGCGUGUGCAAACAGCAUUUUUCAUUACAAAAACCCUAAACCGAAAUCAAUACCCCACUGCCAUACUCCCCGACGCCCUAUAAAAACGCCAGUGAUAAAGCUCAAAUCAUCUUAGCCGUCAUGGAUAAAGUUCCAGAAAGAAUCGAAUAAAUCGUAAGAGAAACCCUAAAACGCAGUACGACUGCCGAUAGGUAUCUCGUCUCAUCCUGCUAAUUCGGUUAAUAUACUUUUUCUUUUUCUUUAAUAGUUUCUUGUUGUUUUUGUUUGAAAAAAAUGGAUAUAUUAUCCAGUAUCUAUGCACCAGAUAGCCCCUUGCUUCUUCAAGUCUAGCGGCAAGGAAACAUCGAGAAAAGGGUUUUAUAGGGUGCUAAAUUGAGAGUGGCAGUAACCGUAUUUACGCUGUGCGAUGAAGGACAAGCUCCUUGUACUACUCUGUUAAUGCCACAAAUAAUGGAAUUAAUAGGAGAUGCAUUGAGUAUAAACCACCGUUUGUGCAUUUAUUUUGGAAAUUCAUUUUUAGGAUUGACUGCUCGCUGCUGCUUUUUCUGAGAAUAAGAAACGCCCAAAUCUUGCAUUGAACCUGCUUUCUGCACAACUAUUUGAUGCUUGUGUUGCUUGCAUUAUGGGGUCCUCGAUUCUUAGUUUUUUCAUGUAGAGUGAUGGUCUCUGUCUGUUAUCAAUAUGAUUUUUAUUUUUUCAUGGUUUCUGAGGGUAAGAUGUUCUGGCAGGAAAGCAUAGCAAAAUGAUGAGUUUUUCAUAUCUGAACAUGAUGUAGAAUCCUUAUCAGAUUGGUCUUCAAAGUUCUCUGAUUGCUCUGCUGACCUGCCUCAAGACCUUCGUACUCAAUUCAUCUAAUGAAUCUUUAUGAUAUAUUGUUACUUAAUUAACUGAAUCAGCAAAGCAAAUUUUCGUGUAAGGCGAUUCUUACAUUUCAUGUAUGAUGUUCGUGUAUCUCCAUGGGCCUCUAUGAAGCUAUCUAUGUGAUUUCUUCAUUCAUGGUUUCUAGGGAUAAGCUGUUCUGGCAAGAGAGCAAAGCAAAAUGAUGAGAUUUUUUUGUCUGAAUAUGAUGUAGAACCUCAUAUCAUAUUGGUCUUCAAAGUUCUCUGAUUGUUCUACUGACCUUGCUGAAGCCCUUAUUUUGGUUUUUAAUUCGGCUAAACACUCUCUCUAAGCCCUUAAAUCUCUCUGAAAUCACCCUCACACUAUAUCUCUCGGUGGGUGAAGUGACGUUGAGUUUAAAAUUUUCAAACUGAUGCCAUUUUUGGCCAUAUUGAUUUUAAUUUUUAAUCAUUAGUUGAUGCCUAUUCCGCUUUUCUCAAUCUCUGAAUUUGUUAAAUGUUUAAUUUGUUAAAUUUUUUUUCUGUAUUCUUGCAUGUGCAGAACAGGAGUUUUAAGUUUGUUUCUUGAGUUUCUUUGAAUAAUUAGAAGGUUUGCUUCCAAUUUCUAUACAGAUAAAUGAAUGCUUUGGGGAUUCUCUGUAUUUAUUAUGAGUCAUUUUACAUACAACUAUGAAGUGCGUAAACGCUGAGUAAUCACUUUGAAAAAUAGUGAGAUUCACUAUAAAAAAAUUAAUUAAUUUUUUUUCAUGUGGGUCUCAUGUUUUAUUCACUUUUUUUCAAAGCGAUUACACAGCAGUUACACAAUUCACGGUUGCAGAUAUCUUUGCUCAUUUAUUAUUCACUUAGCAAUGAAUCCAGACACAAGUUUUUGUUCACAACAUUCCGGGGAAUUUAAGUGAAUGCUGGCACAACAAUUCAUGGUCUGUCAUGUACUUGUAGGCCAGAGUUUGUGUUCUGAAGGUUAACCUGAUGUUAGAUGGAUUAUCAAAUUUGGUUGAUCCUCUCCUUGAUGUUUAAUUCUUGGGUAAUGAUACCUUUACACCUUAUUUACUAUUGCUUUACUAUUUCUUUUUCCUUUUGCUCUUUGAAUCUAGAUUGAAAAUCCUAGAACAUGACCUUCUUGCAUAAUCUAGAAGAAAUAAAUUGAAUCAACCAAUGUAAUCAUAUAAUUUAGUUAAAAAUAAAUUCAAUUUUAUAAAAAUAAUUUGUGUAUGGCGAUUCUUACAUUUCAUGUAUGAUGUUCAUGUAUCUCCAUGGCCCUCUAUGAAGCUAUCUUUAUGAUUUCUUCAUUCAUGGUUUCUUGGGAUAAGCUGUUCUGGCAAGAGAGCAAAGCAAAAUGAUGAGAUUUUUUUUGUCUGUAUAUGAUGUAGAACCUCAAUAUCAUAUUGGUCUUCAAAGUUCUCUGAUUGUUCUACUGACUUUGCCGAAGCCCUUAUUUUGGUCUAUAAUUUGACUGAACACUUUCUCUCCAAUCCCUUAAAUCUCUCUUAAAUCUCACUCUCACUCUAUAACAUCUUGGUGGGUGAAGUGACAUUGAGUUGAAAAUUUUCAGAUUGAUGCCAUUUCUGGCCAUAUUGAUUUUAAUUUUUAGGGUUUGCUACAAAGAAGUUAUUAUUUUUGCACACUCGGCAUACCCCUAACAUGGAGGUGAUGUGGAGUAAUUUUUAUUAAUAAAAAAAAAAAGCCAGAAGUUAUAGCAUACAAUUUCUGGUCCUUCUUUCUUCUUGUUAGUUGUUCUUCUUCUUACUUAUUCUUCAGCCGCAUAGCAUCAUUGAAGAUGAUGUUUCAGGGUUUGCGCAUUGAACUGGAGUUGCGAUUCUUUUUAGACCGACAGAGACAAGUGGUAUUGAUUAGAGGUUCAAAAUGGUUGCAACUGUUGGUUCUUAGAAGGGAUACCCAAAAUCAAUUUUUCUUUUAAGAAUAAGUUUUGAAUCUGCUCUGUAUUUGUAGCUAUUGUGUGAUAUGCAUCAUUUCAAUCUGAUCUGAGGUGUUGUGGAUUGGGUGGGUGGUUGGAGAAUUUUAAACGAGAUUUGAACUUCCUGAGUCAGAUCUAUGGCCCUUUCUCAACCUCUCUAGCUUCUAGUUCUUGAUUUGGUGUCAGAACAGAGCAAAUACGAACCUUAAAAGGAGAAAAUGGAUGGGAACCAGAGAGAAAACAGUAGCAUAAAUCAUAGCACAAGUAACAGAAGAAAAUGAAAGGAGAAAAUACGAAAACCCUAACUGCUUGUCGGAACCUUGAAGGGAAAAUGGAAGGGACCUCCAUGACCUUGCCGCCGACUGAAGGAGAAAAUAUUGGAAUGGUUUAUCAGUAUUCAGUGGCUUGGCUUGGUGACUGAAGGCUGAGCAAUCUUUGACCUUGGUGCUCGCUGAUGGAGAAAGGAGGGUUGAUGUCUAUUCAUUUUCUCUCAAUCUCUGAAUUUGUUAAAUGUUUAGUUUUGAUAGAAUACCGCAAGUGUUCAUGAAUCUGUUUUUUAUGCAUUCUUGCGGUUGCAUAACAGGAGUUUUAAGUUUGUUUCUUGAGUUUCUUUGAAUAAUUUUAGAAGGUUUGCUUCCAAUUUCUAUAAAGAUAAAUUGAAUGCUUUGGGGAUUCUGUGUAUUUAUUAUUAUUAUUCACUUGGCCAUUAGUCGAGACU